rnacentral:rRNA from 1 species
GGCGUAAAGAGCUCGUAGGUGGUUUGUCGCGUCGUUUGUGUAAGCCCGCAGCUUAACUGCGGGACUGCAGGCGAUACGGGCAUAACUUGAGUGCUGUAGGGGAGACUGGAAUUCCUGGUGUAGCGGUGGAAUGCGCAGAUAUCAGGAGGAACACCGAUGGCGAAGGCAGGUCUCUGGGCAGUAACUGACGCUGAGGAGCGAAAGCAUGGGUAGCGAACAGGAUUAGAUACCCUGGUAGUCCAUGCCGUAAACGGUGGGCGCUAGGCGUGAGUCCCUUCCACGGGGUUCGUGCCGUAGCUAACGCAUUAAGCGCCCCGCCUGGGGAGUACGGCCGCAAGGCUAAAACUCAAAGGAAUUGACGGGGGCCCGCACAAGCGGCGGAGCAUGUGGAUUAAUUCGAUGCAACGCGAGGAACCUUACCUGGGCUUGACAUACACCAGACCGGGCCAGAGAUGGUCUUUCCCUUUGUGGUUGGUGUACAGGUGGUGCAUGGUUGUCGUCAGCUCGUGUCGUGAGAUGUUGGGUUAAGUCCCGCAACGAGCGCAACCCUUGUCUUAUGUUGCCAGCACGUUAUGGUGGGGACUCGUGAGAGACUGCCGGGGUUAACUCGGAGGAAGGUGGGGAUGACGUCAAAUCAUCAUGCCCCUUAUGUCCAGGGCUUCACACAUGCUACAAUGGUCGGUACAACGCGUCUGCGAGCCUGUGAGGGUGAGCUAAUCGCUGUAAAGCCGGUCGUAGUUCGGAUUGGGGUCUGCAACUCGACCCCAUGAAGUCGGA